rnacentral:rRNA from 1 species
AUUGAACGCUGGCGGCAGGCCUAACACAUGCAAGUCGAGCGGCAGCGGGAAAGUGGCUUGCUACUUUUGCCGGCGAGCGGCGGACGGGUGAGUAAUGCCUGGGGAUCUGCCCAGUCGAGGGGGAUAACUACUGGAAACGGUAGCUAAUACCGCAUACGCCCUACGGGGAAAGCAGGGGACCUUCGGGCCUUGCGCGAUUGGAUGAACCCAGGUGGGAUUAGCUAGUUGGUGAGGUAAUGGCUCACCAAGGCGACGAUCCCUAGCUGGUCUGAGAGGAUGAUCAGCCACACUGGAACUGAGACACGGUCCAGACUCCUACGGGAGGCAGCAGUGGGGAAUAUUGCACAAUGGGGGAAACCCUGAUGCAGCCAUGCCGCGUGUGUGAAGAAGGCCUUCGGGUUGUAAAGCACUUUCAGCGAGGAGGAAAGGUUGGUAGCUAAUAACUGCCAGCUGUGACGUUACUCGCAGAAGAAGCACCGGCUAACUCCGUGCCAGCCGCCGCCGUAAAAC